UUGGAGGGCAAGUCUGGUGCCAGCAGCCGCGGUAAUUCCAGCUCCAAUAGCGUAUAUUAAAGUUGUUGUGGUUAAAAAGCUCGUAGUUGAACCUUGGGCCUGGCUGGCCGGUCCGCCUCACCGCGUGUACUGGUCCGGCCGGGCCUUUCCCUCUGUGGAACCCCAUGCCCUUCACUGGGUGUGGCGGGGAAACNGGACUUUACUGUGAAAAAAUUAGAGUGCUCCAGGCAGGCCUAUGCUCGAAUACAUUAGCAUGGAAUAAUAGAAUAGGA
rnacentral:rRNA from 1 species